rnacentral:rRNA from 1 species
GACCUUCGGGAGCCUAUACAGGUGUUGCAUGGCUGUCGUCAGCUCGUGUCGUGAGAUGUUCGGUUAAGUCCGCUAACGAGCGCAACCCUCGUCGUAUGUUAUAUGUGUCAUACGAGACUGCCGGUAAAAAGCCGGAGGAAGGUGAGGAUGAUGUCAAGUCAGCAUGACCUUUAUAUCCAGGGCUACACACACGCUACAAUGGUCUGUACAAUGGGUAGCCAAGCCGCGAGGCGGAGCCAAUCCUGAAAGCAGGCCUCAGUUCAGAUUGCAGUCUGCAACUCGACUGCAUGAAGCCGGAGUUGCUAGUAACCGCAGGUCAGCAAUACUGCGGUGAAUACGUUCCCGGGUCUU